AAGGAUUAGGUAAGUUCUCCCCGCGGUAGACUUCAAAUACUCUUUGUCCUGCCCCUGCUUGGCGAAAUUUACCGAAAUUAUCUACCUAUCCCGCUGGAGUGGGAGCCGGGGGAGAGCUGGAACCGCGUCUCUGCUGCUCACCUUUGUGUCCUUAGCUCCUUCGCAUGGGGUCCGACCGCAACACGUGCGCUGGAUAAACGCUUGUUAACUGGAGCUCCCUCUUUGCCCACUAGCAGGGCAUUAGCUGGUGCUGAAGACAGUGGCUGCUUGGCGAGCCUGGAUCUCCAAGUGACCCCCUCAGCAACUCCUGAUGAACAGGCAAUCAGGAAAUGAUUCCUUUCCCGACUGCUUCUGUCUAGUGCCUGGGAAUCUUGAGUCAAUCCCUCAGGACUUGCACUUAGGAAUCUGUUACAGUGAGCACAGAAGCAGACCUGUGGGCUCAUAGUCUUCACCCCCCACCCAUAUAUACAAGAUGAACAGAGUGGAGGUUAAACAACUUGACUAAACAACACAGUUCAUGGUAAAGCCCAAGACUGUACCUGCCCAUCCACUGCCUUUUCCAUGUAUCCUGGAACUGAGCAUAGACCUCUUCCCAGGCAGAGCUGACAGCAAGUAAAGGAGAUCAUAAUCAGGGGACCAAACAACUUUGUCUAAAGUGUGAAUGUCACCUAAGGAGAAGCUGUGAGAUCAGAAGGGUGGGGCAGAGGAGCAGACACCAUGAGGGAGAGUCCUUGGGGGUACAUCUGCCAGACUGACACUGUCUGGCCUGGGCAGUGGAGGGGCUAGCAGGAACCACAGGUACUGGUGGUGUGGCUACUACCGUUACAACUGCCUGUGCUUGGACAUGGACCCUCUGCAAUAUGCGGCAGUUUCAUUCAUUGCCCCCUACAUUCUACACCAAGUAGAAAUGGAAGGCAAUUGGAUACUUCACAGACAAGAUCUAAGUGGAGAAGGAAUGCGUCCUGUGGCUGCAGAGAUCCUUGGAGCUUGGAGGGGAGAGCUUGAGCCCCACUGAUGAUGACCUCCCACAGCUCGCCAACUCAGCCCUCCCUAAGUCCCCAUCGGGGGCCAAUUCUCACUCUGGGGUUGGGGGGACUCCACCAUAGCUCAUCCAUCAUAGGGAUGUUGGUAUCUACUGUGGGUUGGGUAGGGCCGAUGUGCUGAGGAUGGCUCCCCCACAAGCAAGAGAUGUGGAUUUGGGGAGCUUCCCAUCUUGUGUUGAAGGAACAUAACUCAGAAUAAUAAGAGCCAACUAUAACAAACCCACAGCCAACAUCAUACUGAAUGGGCAAAAGCUGCAGGCAUUCCCCUUGAAAAGUGGCACAGGAUAAGGAAGCCCUUUCUCACCACUCCUAUUCAAUAUAGUGUUGAAAGUCCUGAUCACAGCAGUCAGGCAACAGAAAUAAUAAAGGGCAUCCAAAUAGGAAGAGAGGAAGUCAAACUAUCCUUGUUUGCAGACAGUAUGAUUCUAUAUCUAGAAAACCCCAUAGCCUCAGCCCAAAAGGUCCUUCAUCUGAUAAUUUCAGCAAAGUUUCAGGAGACAAAAUCAGUGUACAAAAAUCACUAACAUUCCUAUACACAGUCGCCAAGCCAAGAGCCAAAUCAGGAGCACAAUCCCAUUCAUAAUUGCCACAAAAAA
ensembl:lncRNA HCG18 HLA complex group 18